CGACUGCUAGUACCGAAUGUGUCGCAAGAUGAAAGAUUUAUUGCCUAGAGAUGAGCUCGCGUCUGAUUAGCUAGUUGGUGGGGUAAAAACCUACCAAGGCGACGAUCAGUAGCUGGUCUGAGAGGAUGAUCAGCCACACUGGGACUGAGACACGGCCCAGACUCCUACGGGAGGCAGCAGUGGGGAAUUUUCCGCAAUGGGCGAAAGCCUGACGGAGCAACGUCGCGUGAGGGAGGAAGGCUCUUGGGUUGUAAACCUCUUUUCUCAAGGAAGAUAAUGACGGUACUUGAGGAAUCAGCAUCGGCUAACUCCGUGCCAGCAGCCGCGGUAAUACGGAGGAUGCAAGCGUUAUCCGGAAUAAUUGGGCGUAAAGCGUUCGUAGGUGGUUUUGUAAGUCUGCUGUUAAAGCGUGUAGCUCAACUACAUAUAGGCAGUGGAAACUACAAAACUUGAGUGCGUUCGGGGUAGAGGGAAUUCUUGGUGUAGCGGUGAAAUGCGUAGAGAUCAGGAAGAACACCGGUGGCGAAGGCGCUCUACUAGGCCGCAACUGACACUGAGGGACGAAAGCUAGGGGAGCG
rnacentral:rRNA from 1 species